ACGACCUUACUUGAACAGGAUCUGUUCUAUAGGCUCGUACCUCUGUAUCCUUGAGUUCUAAGGAGACAGGAACCUAAGUCUGGUGGAUGAAUCAUGACCGUGCGACCAGAGCGUGAUUAAUGGCAUGGAUGAUCUGGUUACCUGGCCAUCCAGCUGUAGAUGAUCGUUCCCGUCCUGUUUCGGCAGGAUGAGAUGGUCGCGCGGUUGUCUGACAGACU
rnacentral:snoRNA from 1 species